UACAGGGGGUGCAAACGUUGCUCGGAAUCAUUGGGCGUAAAGCGCACGUAGGCGGUCUGUUAUGUCGGAUGUGAAAGCCCUCGGCUCAACUGAGGAAGUGCAUCCGAAACUGGCAGGCUAGAGUACUAAAGAGGAUCGCGGAAUUCCCGGUGUAGAGGUGAAAUUCGUAGAUAUCGGGAGGAACACCGGUGGCGAAGGCGGCGACCUGGGUAGAUACUGACGCUGAGGUGCGAAAGCGUGGGGAGCAAACAGG
rnacentral:rRNA from 1 species